UACGAAGGGGGCUAGCGUUGCUCGGAAUCACUGGGCGUAAAGGGUGCGUAGGCGGGUCUUUAAGUCAGGGGUGAAAUCCUGGAGCUCAACUCCAGAACUGCCUUUGAUACUGAAGAUCUUGAGUUCGGGAGAGGUGAGUGGAACUGCGAGUGUAGAGGUGAAAUUCGUAGAUAUUCGCAAGAACACCAGUGGCGAAGGCGGCUGACUGGUCCGGUUCUGACGCUGAGGCGCGAAAGCGUGGGGAGCAAACAGGG
rnacentral:rRNA from 1 species